GUGGGGAAUAUUCCGCAAUGGACGAAAGUCUGACGGAGCAACGGCGCGUGAGUGAUGAAGGUUUUCGGACUGUAAAGCUCUGUUGUUUAGGACGAAAGUGCCUGUUGCAAAUAGUUACAGGUAUUGACGGUACUGAACGAGGAAGCCACGGCUAACUACGUGCCAGCAGCCGCGGUAAUACGUAGGUGGCAAGCGUUGUCCGGAAUUAUUGGGCGUAAAGAGCAUGUAGGCGGGAAUCUAAGUCUGUUGUGAAAAUGCGGGGCUCAACCCCGUAUUGCGAUGGAAACUGGGUUUCUUGAGUGCAGGAGAGGAAAGGGGAAUUCCCAGUGUAGCGGUGAAAUGCGUAGAUAUUGGGAGGAACACCAGUGGCGAAGGCGCCUUUCUGGACUGUGUCUGACGCUGAGAUGCGAAAGCCAGGGUAGCGAACGGGAUUAGAUACCCCAGUAGUCC
rnacentral:rRNA from 1 species